rnacentral:rRNA from 1 species
CUUAAUUCGAUGCAACGCGAAGAACCUUACCUGGGUUUGACAUGCAGGGAAAUCUCGUAGAGAUACGGGGUCCGUAAGGGCCUUGCACAGGUGGUGCAUGGCUGUCGUCAGCUCGUGUCGUGAGAUGUUGGGUUAAGUCCCGCAACGAGCGCAACCCUCGUCCUAUGUUGCCAGCGAGUCAUGUCGGGGACUCAUAGGAGACUGCCGGGGUCAACUCGGAGGAAGGUGGGGAUGACGUCAAGUCAUCAUGCCCCUUAUGUCCAGGGCUGCACACAUGCUACAAUGGCCGGUACAAAGGGCUGCGAUACCGCGAGGUGGAGCGAAUCCCAGAAAGCCGGUCUCAGUUCGGAUUGGGGUCUGCAACUCGACCCCAUGAAGUCGGAGUCGCUAGUAAUCGCAGAUCAGCAACGCUG